AACGGACAAAUUCCCUCCGGACUCCUCCAGCAGUCGACCUUCCACAGUAUCCUCCAGAUUCCUCCAGCGGACGAACUUCCACAACACCUUCCGGACUCUUCUAUCGAUCAACUUUCUAUAGCGCCUUUCGAAUUUCACUAUCGAUCGACCUUCUAUCGGAUUCCUCAUGCAACUGGACCUCUCCAGCGGACAGUCUUCAGACAAGCUUCUACAUCAGACAAAUUUCAGAUGGA
rnacentral:lncRNA from 1 species